rnacentral:rRNA from 1 species
UACGGAGGGUGCAAGCGUUAUCCGGAUUCACUGGGUUUAAAGGGUGCGUAGGCGGGUAUAUAAGUCAGUGGUGAAAGCUCCGGGCUUAACUUGGAAACUGCCAUUGAUACUGUAUAUCUUGGAUGUCGUUGAGGUUAGCGGAAUGUUGCAUGUAGCGGUGAAAUGCUUAGAUAUGUUACAGAACACCAAUUGUGAAGACAGCUAACUAAGCGAUGAUUGACGCUGAGGCACGAAAGCGUGGGGAGCAAACAGG